CCCUCUGAAAUCUUGCCUCUACGGCCCACCCAAUUGUGAUUAGGGUUUCUCUAUAAAACCAUGGUCAUCUCAACUCUUCCUCACUCAGAUCUCAAUUUCAGAAAUCCUCAUGUAUCGUUUUCUUCCUUUUUUCAUCAAUUUGCUCGAAUUUGAUAAAAUCCUUUGCAUUUUACGCAUGUAGCAACCCGGGCUCCUCUGAAAUUCUCCAAUGAAGAAACAAGUCCCAAAGCUCGUGCCAGAACGAUGCCGUUUAGUGUUGCAGCUCUUUAGGUUUUUAAUCAAUGAUGAAACUUCCAUUUUUGAGGUGUUGUGAUAUUGAGACCCUGUAAAGGGAGAACCCCUUGAUAUUGCUUCAUCUUGCCAUGAAACUUUGGAAAUAACUGAGAAUUUUCUAAUAUUCAUUUUGGAUUAAAUUUAUUGCCUGUGAUGGUUGUUGGAUAGUAUAUCAGAUGUAGUGAAGCCGAGUCCUGCUUAUGCAGGGGAACCUCUCGGUUGAUCUACGUUGCUAUUGAUUAUAAUUAACAUGCUGAGGCUAAUAAUUUUUUUGGUAAAAGUUUAAUCUUUGUGAAUUUUUGAGUUGUUUUUAUAUUGAGUUUUAGUGUUCUACACUUCUACUAUACUUUUUGCCAUGUUUUUGAAACCUUUUUGGCCGACGGUCUGAAAAACUCAUAUAUCAAAUGUGUUGUUUAUCAGCUUCUUCUCUCGAUUUUUCUACGAGACUGGAGUUAAAUCACAGCACAACAAUCUUUGAUUAAUUCCUUUAUUUUCAAUGUUAAUUCUAUUAUUUUUGUGGAAAUCUUAAUUUGUAUAAAAGAUUGAAGUUUCUCAAAUUGUUUUUGAAGUUUCUCAAAUUGUUUUUGAAGUUUUUCAAAUUGUUGAAUUUCUUUAGAGUUGUAGCCCAAUUAAAUUAGUCACAGGCUCAAUUUAUAGUUGCUAACUUCCUGUCCCUCAGAACCAGUUUUUUCGUUUACAACAUUUCCUCUUUGUGCCAAUAUCGUUAGUUAAUCUAAUACUCCUUUUCAGUUUUUGAUUGCUUCUACAUAUUGAUGGAUCACCAUUUGUCAUUAGAACUCCAGAUUUGGGAAUAAUCUUUAUUCAAUACUAAAAUUUUGGAUUUCUGAUCAAUUGUAGUUCUCAAAUAAAUAUGAAAUUUUACCCUGAAAUGAACACCAAA